rnacentral:rRNA from 1 species
GACGAACGCUGGCGGCGUGCCUAAUACAUGCAAGUCGAACGCAGUGGGGACGGGUGAGUAACACGUGGGUACCCUCCCCAUCAGAGGGGAUAACACUUGGAAACAGGUGCUAAACCGAUACGGAUGGCUGGACCCGCGGUGGAUUAGCUAGUUGGUGAGGUAACGGCUCACCAAGGCCACGAUGCAUAGCCGACCGGAGAGGGUGAUCGGCAAAGCUGGAAUUGAGAAACGGCCCAGAAUCCUACGGGAGGCAGCAGGAGGGAAUCUUCGGCAAUGGACGAAAUUCUGACCGAGAAACGCCGGGUGAGGGAAGAAGGUUUGCGGAUCGUAAAACUCUGGUGUUAGAGAAGCGGUAUCGAACCAGAAAGCCACGGCUAACUACGUGCCAGCCGCCGCGGUAAUUC